rnacentral:lncRNA from 1 species
GAACCAUGAAAGAUGGGGUGGAUUUGAUUCCAAUAUCAAGCCGCAAUUCAAAGCCUCCAGGUGUUGAAUUGUGGGCAGUUCUUGAUGUCCCUGACAUUAGGUUGGCGCUUCUUGGAAAAAUUUAAGCCAUUCACUAUCAGGUCUCUUUUGUGCUUCAAUCAACUUCCUGGAGUCUUCUACCACUUAUUCUGCUCCUGAAUUGGCAUUUCAAUCAGCUUUGGGCAGUUUAAGAUAUGGUACACUGCCACGUGAAAUCGAAAAAGUGUGGGUGCCUCUACCAGAUGAAAUUCUAUAAUCAUUUGCAAAAUUUUGGUAUACAAGAUUGGCCCUGUCCCUGAAAUCGGAAAGUGUGGUUGCCUCUAUGAGAUGAAAUUCUAUAUUCAUCAUCUGCAAAAUUUCGAUAUGCAAGAAAGAUCCUGUCCCUGGAAUCGAAAAAAUGUGAUUACCUCUAUGAGAUGAAAUUCUAUAUUCAUCAUCUGCAAAAUUUCGAUAUGCAAGAAUGAUCCUGUCCCUGAAAUCGGAAAAAUGUGAUUGCCUCUAUGAGAUGAAAUUCUAUAUUCAUCAUCUGCAAAAUUUCAGUAUAAAAGAAUGACCCUGACCCUGAAAUUGAAAAAGUGUGGUUGCCUCUAUGAGAUGAAAUUUUAUAUUCAUUAUUUGCAAAAAUUUCGGUAUAUAAGAAUGACCCUGUCCCUGAAAUCGGAAAAGUGUGGUUGCUUGCCUCUAUGAGAUGAAAUUCUAUAUUCAUCAUUUGCGAAAUUUCUGUAUACAAGAAUGGCCCUAUCCCUGAAAUUGGAAAAGUGUGGUUGCCUCAAUGAGAUGAAAUUCUAUAUUCAUCAUCUACAAAAUUUCGGUAUACAAGAAUGACCUUGACCCUGAAAUAAAAAAAGUGUGGUUGCUUCUAUGAGAUGAAAUUCUAUAUUCUUUAUCUAUAAAUUUUCAGUAUAUAAGAAUGACCUUGUCCCUGAAUUCAGAAAAGUGUGGUCGCCUCUAUGAGAUGAAAUUCUAUAUUUAUUAUUUGCAAAAUUUUGGUAUACAAGAAUGGCCCUGUCCCUGAAAUCGGAAAAGUGUGGUUGCCUCUAUGAGAUGAAAUUUUAUAUGCAUCAUUUGCAAAAUUUUGGUAUACAAGAAUGACCCUAACCUUGAAGUCGAAAAAGUGUGGUUGCCUCUGAGAUGAUUUCUUUAUUCAUCAUUUGCAUAAUUGGGGUAUUCGAACCCUAUAUACGAAUGACCCUGGCCCUGUAAUGAGAAAAAUGUGGUUGCCUCUAUGAGAUGAAUUCUUUAUUCAUCAUCUGCAAAUUUUUGGUAUAUAAGAAUGACAUAAACCCUGAAAUUGAAAAACUGUGGUUACUUCUGAGUUGGAUUCUUCAUUCAUUAUCUGCAAAAUUUGGGUAUAUAAACCCUUUAAGGUUGACCCUAACCAUGUAAUAGAAAAGUGUGGUUGCCUCUAUGAGAUGAAUUGUUUAUCCAUUCAUUUGCAUAAUAUAUAAAUCCUAAGAUGAAUUCUUUAUUCUUAAUGAGAAAAAUAAGGGUAUAUAAACCCUAUAAGGUUGACCCUGAAAACAGAAAAGUGCGGUUGCCAUUAUGAGCCUAAUUCAUCUGAAAAAUUGGAGUAUCUAUAAGGUUGACUCUGACCCUCUAAACAUAAAUUUUUUUAUUGCCUUUAUGAGAUGGAUUCCUUAUUGACUUAAAAAUUAGGGUAUAUAAUGAUGACCCUGACCUUGAAUUUGGAAAAGUGUAGUUGUCCCUUGGAGAUGGAUUCUUUGUUUUAAAAAGAGAUGUUAAUUUUUAGCCUCAAUGACCCUAAACCAAGCUGCAUGUUUAAAUCUUUGUUGCAUGACAUAAAAUCAAGAGGCAUGUUUAAAGGUAUAUAAACCCUUUAAGGUUGACCCUGAUUCUGAAAUCGAAAAAGUACAGUUGCCUUGCCUCUAUGAUAGAUUCUUUAUUCAUCUGAAGUGUAUAGACCCUAUAAGAUGACCCUGGCCCUAAAUAUAUAAGAUGAACCUGGCUCUAAAAAUGAAAAAGUGCAGCUUUCUGUAUGAGAUAGAUUCAUUAUUCAUCAUUGAGAUAUAUUAAUUUUGGCCUAUGACCCUAAAUCAAGCUUCAUGUUUAAAUCUUUAUUGCAAUUUAAAAUCUGGAUAGAAUGCUUUCAUGACCCUAAUGAAAACUACAAUAUAAACUGUAUUAUUGAUGUCUCCUGGAUGGUAGGUAUGAUAUGAUGGCCCUGAAUGCAUUUUUUAUAUGAAUGAAAAUCAGUGUAAAAAUUCAGUUGUUAUGCACCCCAGAUGGAAUUACCAAAUUGCGGAUUUGGGUUUGAUUCUCUUGUUAUUACUUGAAUAAUUGGAUGUGGCAAAGGUAUGAGACAUUGCGUUUGAUAUACUUAGUUUGCUGGAACUUCAAAAUAAAUUGUACUUGUGACCUUGCACUUUUAUCGUCAAAAUCAUGAAUAGUGGUUCUUGAAAGGGUAUAUUCUUUGAAUUUGAUGUAGACUACCUCAAAGACUCCUUCCUUGAAUCUUGAAUGAUGACAAUUUCCAGAACUAUGGGAUUUGUGAAAACUUUGUUUAUUGUGACUUACGAAUGUACCAAGAAUCUUACAGUUUUAUGAUCAUAAUUAUUGUAUUACUGUAUGGAAUUUGAUGUGGUGGUGGCUCUUAAAACAUAAUUCAAUUGUUGUUCUAACUCUCGGAACUUUCCUACUAGUUCACUAUAGAUUUUGCAUUUCAAGUUGCACAUAUAGAGAAACCUUCACUUGCAGACACUUUUAGGCAUCAGAUUUUUUCCACUCGUUAUUACAAUUUAUACAUGAGUUAUACUUGGAUAUUAAUUAUGAUUAGCUAAAACUUUCUUUAGCCUUUAGAAGACAUUUGGUAGAGGAUAAAUAUUUAUUUUCCAGGAAUCAUAGGUCGAU